CCCUUAGAUGUUCUGGGCCGCACGCGCGCUACACUGAUACGUUCAACAAGCAUACAACCGCGGCCGGAAGGUCAUUUGGUAAUCUUUGAAAGCGUAUCGUGAUGGGGAUAGCUCUUUGCAAUUUUAGAGCUUCAACGAGGAAUUCCUAGUAAACGCAAGUCAUCAGCUUGCAUUGAUUACGUCCCUGCCCUUUGUACACACCGCCCGUCGCUACUACCGAUCGAAUGGUUUAGUGAGCUCGACGGACUGGAGCUCAUCGUGGGAAACCACCUGAGCACCGGGAGGUUGAUCAAACUUGACCAUUUAGAGGAAGGAGAANUCGUAACA
rnacentral:rRNA from 1 species